UGGGGAAUUUUGGACAAUGGGCGAAAGCCUGAUCCAGCAAUGCCGCGUGUGUGAAGAAGGCCUUCGGGUUGUAAAGCACUUUUGUCCGGAAAGAAAUGGCUCUGGUUAAUACCUGGGGUCGAUGACGGUACCGGAAGAAUAAGGACCGGCUAACUACGUGCCAGCAGCCGCGGUAAUACGUAGGGUCCAAGCGUUAAUCGGAAUUACUGGGCGUAAAGCGUGCGCAGGCGGUUGUGCAAGACCGAUGUGAAAUCCCCGAGCUUAACUUGGGAAUUGCAUUGGUGACUGUACGGCUAGAGUGUGUCAGAGGGGGGUAGAAUUCCACGUGUAGCAGUGAAAUGCGUAGAGAUGUGGAGGAAUACCGAUGGCGAAGGCAGCCCCCUGGGAUAACACUGACGCUCAUGCACGAAAGCGUGGGGAGCAAACAUG
rnacentral:rRNA from 1 species